UACAGAGGGUGCGAGCGUUGUCCGGAGUCACUGGGCGUAAAGGGCGCGUAGGUGGUGGCUUAAGCGUGCGGUGAAAGCUCGGAGCUCAACUCCGAGUCGGCCGUGCGAACUGGGCUCACUGGAGCAUAGUAGAGGCAGGUGGAAUUCCGGGUGUAGCGGUGGAAUGCGUAGAGAUCCGGAAGAACACCGGUGGCGAAGGCGGCCUGCUGGGCUAUGGCUGACACUGAGGAGCGAAAGCAUGGGGAGCGAACAGG
rnacentral:rRNA from 1 species